GACGAACGCUGGCGGCGUGCUUAACACAUGCAAGUCGAACGGAAAGGCCCUGCUUUUGUGGGGUGCUCGAGUGGCGCACGGGUGAAUCACACGUGAGUAACCUGCUCUUGACUUUGGGAUAACUUCAGGAAACUGGGGCUUAUACCGGAUAGGAGCUCCUGCUGCAUGGGGGGGGAUGGAAAGUUUCGGCGGUUGGGGAGGGACUCGCGGCUAAUCUGCUUGUUGGUGGGGUAGUGGCUUACCAAGGCUUGGACGGGUGGCCGGCCUGGGUGGGGGACCGGCCACAUGGGGACGGAGUUACGGCCCAGACUCCUCCGGGAGGCAGCAGUGGGGAAUAUUGCACAAUGGGCGGAAGCCUGAUGCAGCAACGCCGGGUGCGGGAGGACGGCCUUCGGUUGGUAAACCGUUUUCGCCUGUGACGAAGCGUGAGUGACGGUAAUUGGUAAAGAAGCACCGGCUAACUACGUG
rnacentral:rRNA from 1 species